rnacentral:rRNA from 1 species
GACGAACGCUGGCGGCGUGCUUAACACAUGCAAGUCGAACGGAAAGGCCCUGCUUUUGUGGGGUGCUCGAGUGGCGAAAGGGUGAGUAACACGUGAGUAACCUGCCCUUGACUUUGGGAUAACUUCAGGAAACUGGGGCUAAUACCGGAUAGGAGCUCCUGCUGCAUGGUGGGGGUUGGAAAGUUUCGGCGGUUGGGGAUGGACUCGCGGCUUAUCAGCUUGUUGGUGGGGUAGUGGCUUACCAAGGCUUUGACGGGUAGCCGGCCUGAGAGGGUGACCGGCCACAUUGGGACUGAGAUACGGCCCAGACUCCUACGGGAGGCAGCAGUGGGGAAUAUUGCACAGUGGGCGGAAGCCUGAUGCAGCAACGCCGCGUGCGGGAUGACGGCCUUCGGGUUGUAAACCGCUUUCGCCUGUGACGAAGCGUGAGUGACGGUAAUGGGUAAAGAAGCACCGGCUAACUACGUG